AAGGCGACGAUCCGUAGCUGGUCUGAGAGGGAUGAUCAGCCACACUGGAACUGAGACACGGUCCAGACUCNUACGGGAGGCAGCAGUGGGGAAUAUUGGACAAUGGGCGCAAGCCUGAUCCAGCCAUGCCGCGUGGGUGAAGAAGGCCUUCGGGUUGUAAAGCCCUUUUGUUGGGAAAGAAAAGCAGUCGGUUAAUACCCGAUUGUUCUGACGGUACCCAAAGAAUAAGCACCGGCUAACUUCGUGCCAGCAGCCGCGGUAAUACGAAGGGUGCAAGCGUUACUCGGAAUUACUGGGCGUAAAGCGUGCGUAGGUGGUGGUUUAAGUCUGUUGUGAAAGCCCUGGGCUCAACCUGGGAAUUGCAGUGGAUACUGGGUCACUAGAGUGUGGUAGAGGGUAGCGGAAUUCCCGGUGUAGCAGUGAAAUGCGUAGAGAUCGGGAGGAACAUCCGUGGCGAAGGCGGCUACCUGGACCAACACUGACACUGAGGCACGAAAGCGUGGGGAGCAAACAGGAUUAGAUACCCUGGUAGUCCACGCCCUAAACGAUGCGAAC
rnacentral:rRNA from 2 species